GACGAACGCUGGCGGCAUGCUUUACACAUGCAAGUCGAACGGUAACAGGGUGCUUGCACCGCUGACGAGUGGCGAACGGGUGAGUAAUGCGUCGGAACGUGCCGAGUAGUGGGGGAUAACGCAGCGAAAGUUGUGCUAAUACCGCAUACGUACUGAGGUAGAAAGUGGGGGACCUUCGGGCCUCACGCUAUUCGAGCGGCCGACGUCUGAUUAGCUAGUAGGGGAGGUAAAGGCUCACCUAGGCGACGAUCAGUAGCGGGGCUGAGAGGAUGAUCCGCCACACUGGGACUGAGACACGGCCCAGACUCCUACGGGAGGCAGCAGUGGGGAAUUUUGGACAAUGGGCGAAAGCCUGAUCCAGCCAUGCCGCGUGUCUGAAGAAGGCCUUCGGGUUGUAAAGGACUUUUGUCAGGGAGGAAAUCCCUAGUGCUAAUAACACUGGGGGAUGACAGUACCUGAAGAAUAAGCACCGGCUAACUACGUGCCAGCCGCCGCCGUAA
rnacentral:rRNA from 1 species